UGGACACCCUCAGGGUGGAGCCUGGUGGAGUCCGAUGGUUGAGACCAGGUCUGAGGAAGUAUUACUGUGAACUCACCAUCGACACAAACACAGUAAACAGAUCAAACUGUCUGGCAACAACAUGAAGGUGACACGUGUGGAGGAGGAUCAGUCAUAUCCUGAUCAGCCAGACAGAUUUGACCAGUGUCCUCAGCUGCUGUGUAGUAAUGGCCUGACAGGUCGCUGUUACUGGGAGGUUGAGUGGAGUGGAAGGGUUUAU